rnacentral:sRNA from 1 species
CAAGAAUCCUGACAGAAACGGGGAACACGUGGGGCUAGAUCUGGCAAUGUGUGGGCAGAGAAACCACAAGCAGCCAGGCAGAUCUGCCCUCCAGUGGACCUGGGACUCGCUGAAGAGUCAAAAAAGCUUCCGCCCUACCUAGUCCUUUGCUGACCCCUUCAGGCUAGGGAAGGAACUUCAAGCCACGCCCACACCUGACCCUGCUUCCCCACCGUUGCCCAGGCUUCAGUCUCCAGACUCUCUCAAGGUGUGAAAGUCCAGCCCGCCAGAGGAAUAACUGCGACCUCCCCCGCUUUCAGGUUUAAGGAGGCAGAGCCUCUCUCUGACCCAAUCUUCCAGCAUUAAAACAGCUUCUAGUCUCCUGCUUUUCUGAGGAAGAACAACAAGGCCAGAGUCUGAGAUCCACAAAGCUCAGAAGGUCCGCCCUCCUUUGGGAAUCAGAGUGCUAUACCAAAGCGCCCUACAGGUACCUGUACCUGUUGGCUGGCAUCUGCAUCCUACAGAGCAAUCCAGGAGCCAAGGCUGCUUAUAAAUCCCUCAGUGCAAACAGAAAGGGAUCGGCUAUUUCCAGACGCCAGGCAAUAGGCUUUUUGCAGAAUGAACAAUGUGCCAGCUAUGGGCAAGCCACACAUUGUUCCCAAAGGUAACUGUAUUAAUCCUUCAAGCCUGUAAACAUUGUCUUCUGUGAUUUAAAAAAUGACUUUACAGGUAUGAUUAGGUUAGAAAUGUUUAGGUGAGGAUAUUGUUCUGAGUUAUCUGACUGGGUUCAUUGGGUCAGAUUGGAUUGG